AGGAAACCCAGCAAGCAAUAGCCGUCAUUUCAACGUCUGGGUUAAAUAUAGACCAGAUAUAGUCCGGCUAUGUGUAACCCACUUUUAGCCCAAAUAACAUUUAAUCUGGAUAAAUGUAUUUUUUUUGCAAAAUAACUUGUGAGAUGUAUGAUAUUCCAUCAUGUACGCAGAGUCUAACGUGAUUACAAGUUGUUUGGUUUACUUUAUUUUACAUGUUAUAUGUGUAGGCUGUGUGUAGCCACGAUUUAGCUCGUAUUCAGACCCAGCUAUUGUAGCCCACUUUUUGUCAAAACUGAUUAAUUGUAUUUUUUUGCCAGGCAGUGCAUGAAAUGGUUAAUAUUCAAUCAUGUUCGCAUUGGUAUGAUAUCAAGGUUCAAUACGUCAUUUCACGGCAUGGUAGAUCACGAUUUAGCUCCGAAUUGGACGGGCUAUAUGCGGUCUGCUUUAGCCCACCUGGCGAAAUUAUUGCAAUCUGGGCUCAGAUAUAGACCAGCGACCUAGAAUAUUAAUCUUUGAAAUGUUUUCGCUUACACAGCUUAAUAUAUAUUUUCUGUCAAACAUUCAUACACAAUCUACGAUAAAAAUAUCUAAUCAAAUGCAAUUGCAUUUCCCAACCGCUAGAUGGCACAAUUGAAACACUACUGAGACAUGUCUACUGGAACUAAUGCCAUUGCGUGACUAGAUCACUUAAGCCAAAUCUCGCGAUAAACAUUUCCGCCAUUUUAUUUUACACGAGGCAGCUGUCGGAGUGCAACGGGUGAGCAACAGUCUGAGUGAAAACCUUCACAUUUCUACUUCGAUCUUAAGAAAGCCAUACAGGUUUGGAACCAAGUGAAAACGCAGUGAUGACCAGCUUUCCAUCAGCUAUGGAAUGUGAAAUAAAAAAUGCUAUUUCUAAUCAUUUCAAACAAGCACCAGGAAGGGCAGGGGGUGGGGG